UUAAGUUCAGCGGGUAUCCCUACCUGAUCCGAGGUCAAAUUCAUGGGGGUAGCUUCUGGGAGCCGAUCCGCCGGUCUCGAGUUCGCGUUUCUGCUGCGCUCGAAGCCAACGUGCCGGCCGCCAAUAGAUUUGAGGCGAGUCCGCGCCGUGAGGCAGGACAGACGCCCAACACCAAGCAGAGCUUGAAGGUUUGAAUGACG
rnacentral:misc_RNA from 1 species